UACAGAGGUGCCAAGCGUUAGGCGGAAUCACUGGGCUUAAAGCGUGUGUAGGCGGGUUUGUAAGUACCUUGUGAAAUCCCACGGCUCAACCAUGGAACUGCUCGGUAUACUGCGAAUCUUGAGCCACUUAGGGGCUACCGGAACAAAUGGUGGAGCGGUGAAAUGCGUAGAUAUCAUUUGGAACGCCAAUGGUGAAAACAGGUAGCUGGGAGUGUGCUGACGCUGAGACACGAAAGCCAGGGGAGCGAACGGG
rnacentral:rRNA from 1 species